ACGAGUUAGGGUCCUCUAGGGCCCGACCUCCCAACCCUCUGCUUUACCGAACCUCUCGUUGCUUCGGCGGGACCCGUCUCACGACCGCCGGAGGACCGCCGCCCGGGCGUGUCCUCUAGCCAGUGUCCGCCGAUAGCCAACCUUACAAAACUUCUGUAUAAAUCAUGUCUCUAUGUCUAAGUCUUAUAAUUGCAAUCAUAAAGCA
rnacentral:misc_RNA from 1 species